CAUCUCCACUAUACUACCUUAAAACCCUAUUUUCCAUUUCUACAUUUUCCAUCUCAAACUAACCUAAACUAUGGCAGCCACGAACAAUUUUCCAUCUCCACAGCAACCACAAACGAUGAACGACGACAAAAUGACGACAACCAUUUCCAUUUUCCAUCUCCAUGGCAACCAUAAACGACAAAUGAUGACAACCAUCCCCAUUUUCCAUCUCCACGGUAGCUAUCUCCACGGUAGCCAUGUUCAAUUAUUUUUCAUUUAAACCCUAUCUCACGUUUAGUCGUCCCCUCCCUCCCAUUACCAUGCUACCCUCAGCUGCCACAGUCUCAGCCUUCCAGUAAGAUCGCAGACGUCUCCCAUUCGUCUCACAUUCUAUAUCUUCUUGCAAACAUUGGUUAGUGAUUGGUUCAUUUGAUUUUUAGAUGGAACCGGACAAAAUACAUGAAAUAGAAGACCUUGAGAAGAAGAAGAAGAAGGAAGAAAAGGAUGGCUUAUAACUUUGUUGGUGUGCCAAUAGAUGGCUGGGCUCAGUGUAGUUAAUAUUUCAAAGCCAACUUUGUGUUCUUUUUUGGGCAAGUUUCUCAAUUUAUUCAAUUCUCAUAUGGGUAUUCUCGCAUAUUCUCACAUAACUGCCAAUUCUAUUCAAGAAAAGAUGUACUAUCUUCAUGAAAGGGAGGAAGAGAUGCAAAAUCUGAACAGAAGUACAAACACAAAGAUGGCAUGAUUGAGUUUGCUCUCCCUUUUGUUUACUUAUUAGUGGCGGGAUUGCAAAUAUGGCACUUAAAGACCUUUUCUGAGAAAAAAAAGCAAUUAUCUGUACUUACAUUGUGUAUUGGUAUCCCCCUUACUAUAAACAGAAGCCAAAUUUUUUCGAUCCAUGGAGCCUAGUUGGUUCUUCUAGUUUUGGCAUUUCAUGCAAUGGCAUUCACUUUGGGAUACUGGGCAUCAAAAAUUUCAAUCAUAAGGUAAAAUUUAUAUCUCUUUACUUAAUAUCUCAUCUAUUUUGAUAAGCUUUGAGGCUUAGAUGAUCUUAGGUUAGAAUUCACACCAUCAAUCUUUAGCUUUGAUAUACAUUCAUAUGUGCAAUCCAUUAAAGAGAAAGGUGUAUAAACAUAUGAGUGAUGGAAUGCAUCAAUCGAGCAUGAAUAUAUUUGGUAGAAGCUUAUAUUGCAAUCCUACUACAUAUCCCAAAGUGAGGAACUUCCCCAACAAAACUUCUUCCACCUUUGGACAAACUUUUGUAUAUGAGGUAUCAUAUUACUCAUUAAAAGGUUAUUAAGUUUCUUGUUUUUUGCUAUAAUUUCAAUUGCUGUCAUGAGGUUCUAUUAGUUGAUGAACUCCCUUUUUAGAUAUAUAUAUAUAUCGGUUCUUUGAUGCUUACGAAGAAAGAAAGUCUAUGCUUGUAUGGGUUUCCAAAUGAAGUAUGGGAAGUUAAAUCUACUUUGUUUUAUAUAUUUUGGUACGAGAUUUGGAUGAAGAAAUGCUACGUAGUUGUUUUUUGUUUAGGUUUGUUCUCAAAGAAUUUUUUUCCUUUAUAAACAAAAUUGUAAUGCAUAGAAGAUAAUAUAUAUAUGUUAUUCAAUGAGAUAUUAAAUGUAUAGUUCUAUGGUUUAUUUGAUUGAUUUUCAAGUAUUUGCUAUCUUCCUUAUGCAGAAAAAUUUCAUACUCUGGCAUUGGAAGGUGUCCCAAUAUUUGGACUCCACAACAGAACAACAACAUAUCGUUUUGUCACUUUGGUUGAUGUUUUGCAAGAAUCUAUUGGAGUAAUGAAGCCAUAUUUACGGCAAUUGAUUGAUUUAUAGGCCUUUUUGUAGGUUUAGUAGCCAAAUUUUGGUUCAAAUGUACUUAUUUAAAUAACUUGUUCGUACCCAAACAUAUAUGUUCAUUCUUCAUUGUACAAACACUUUACGAACAAUUGUACAUAUAUUAAAGUAUAUAUAUUAAGGCAUUCACCAUUUCUUUGCAUAUGAGUAUAUUGUAUAGUACUUUUGUGAUUGUAUUGGUCUGUGUAAUGGCAGGACAACAAGAAAAACAGAGAUUCAAUAAAAA